rnacentral:rRNA from 1 species
UACGUAGGCAGCGAGCGUUGUUCGGAGUUACUGGGCGUAAAGAGUGCGUAGGCGGUUUUCUAAGUUUGGUGUGAAAUCUCCCGGCUUAACUGGGAGGGUGCGCCGAAAACCGGAAGGCUUGAGUAUGGGAGAGGUAAGCGGAAUUCCUGGUGUAGCGGUGAAAUGCGUAGAUAUCAGGAGGAACACCUGCGGUGUAGACGGCUUACUGGACCAUAACUGACGCUGAGGCACGAAAGCGUGGGUAGCAAACAGG